UGGUGGAGUGAUUUGUCUGGUUAAUUCCGUUAACGAACGAGACCUCGACCUGCUAAAUAGUCUGGCGAAUUCUUCGGGAUUCGUACAGACUUCUUAGAGGGACUAUCGGUGUGUAACCGAUGGAAGUUCGAGGCAAUAACA
rnacentral:rRNA from 1 species